UACAGAGGGUGCAAGCGUUGUUCGGAUUUACUGGGCGUAAAGCGUGCGUAGGCUGUAUUGAGAGUCGCGGGUGAAAUCCCAGGGCUUAACCCUGGAACUGCCUGCGAGACCUCAGUACUAGAGUGUGAGAGGGGAUAGUGGAAUUCCAGGUGUAGCGGUGAAAUGCGUAGAGAUCUGGAGGAACACCGGUGGCGAAGGCGGCUAUCUGGCUCACAACUGACGCUCAGGCACGAAAGCGUGGGUAGCAAACAGGAUUAGAUACCCUGGUAGU
rnacentral:rRNA from 1 species